rnacentral:rRNA from 1 species
GAUGAACGCUAGCGAUAGGCCUAACACAUGCAAGUCGAGGGGCAUCACAUGAGGCAGCAAUGCCGAUGGUGGCGACCGGCGCACGGGUGAGUAACACGUAUGCAACCUGCCUUCAACAAGGGGAUAACCCGUUGAAAAACGGACUAAUACCCUAUAAUACAGGGGUCCCGCAUGGGGAUAUUUGUUAAAGAUUGAUCGGUUGAAGAUGGGCAUGCGUUCUAUUAGCUGGUUGGUGAGGUAACGGCUCACCAAGGCAACGAUGGAUAGGGGAACUGAGAGGUUUAUCCCCCACACUGGUACUGAGACACGGACCAGACUCCUACGGGAGGCAGCAGUGAGGAAUAUUGGUCAAUGGACGCAAGUCUGAACCAGCCACGUCGCGUGAAGGAAGACGGCCCUACGGGUUGUAAACUUCUUUUAUACGGGGAAUAAAGUGCCCCCACGCGUGGGGUUUUGCAUGUACCGUAUGAAUAAGGAUCGGCUAACUCCGUGCCAGCAGCCG